CCGAAAAGCUUCUUCUAUGCAAAUGGGUAUCACCGUAUGUCGUUGGGCUCAUGGCUAACUCAAGCCGUGGAUCAAACAAAUCAUCGGUCUUUGAAUCAUUGAGGAAGGAGAAGUGGUCUUGAAUUUGAUACUCAUCAAUGAGAUCAUUAUUGCUGUUAUUAUUAGCGUUACUGCUGUUGUAGUAUGGGAAUGCAUUAGAUAACGGCACAGAAGACGAUAACGAUGAGGAACCAGUGCGGUUAUUACUGGUUCCAUUAACAAUACUAGCGUAUGAAAGUGAGGAAGUGGAGCUAGGAUUCAGAAGAGGCCAAGAAUUUGAUGAUGGUGAAGAUGGGUUUGUGAUGUCAAAGCCAUUGUUGGAAGAGAUUCUUGAAGAGGAAAUGGACAAAGGGUUGGGUCUAGAAGUGGGAUUAAAAGGUGAAGGAGGAGAGGGUGUGGAGGGUGUUGAAGGUGAGUUAGAGGUAAGACCCAGAUGGGUUUUUGCUUGGAGGAUGAGAUUAUGCAAGAGGGUUUCUGGUCCAAAGGCUAAGCGUAUCAUCUCCUUGUCUCCAUGGUCCUGUAAAAGAAGGUAGCCCAUGAUUUUUGAGGCAUUUUCAGGGUCCAAGCCUUGGAUCCUUGAAAACACCAUCUUGGUAGCUUCAUAAGAAUCCAUGGAGGAAAAACACAAUAAAGCACACACAAACACCUCGCAAACCUCAAACUUUGUAGAGAGAGAAAGAGCAAAAUGAUAGGGAGAGGAAGGGUGAGAAGUAAAAGUGUGGACUUUGUUGAAAAGGGCAAAUAAUAAUGGAAUGGGAUUUGUUAUUU
rnacentral:misc_RNA from 1 species